rnacentral:rRNA from 1 species
ACUCCUACGGGAGGCAGCAGUAGGGAAUCUUCCACAAUGGACGCAAGUCUGGUGGAGCAACGCCGCGUGAGUGAAGAAGGUUUUCGGAUCGUAAAGCUCUGUUGUUGAAGAAGAACGAGGAUGAGAGUAACUGUUCAUCCUGUGACGGUAUUCAACCAGAAAGCCACGGCUAACUACGUGCCAGCAGCCGCGGUAAU